CAUUCCUAGCUAAAAUUUUUAGUCAUAUUGACACACCAUUCUUUAGUAGGAGAGAGGUUUAUCCUCCAUGCACUAUAUCCUUAGCAUGUUCAUUAAGUACUGUAAUGGUAUACUUUUUUCUUCGAGAAAUAGACAAUGUCUAGGAGUAUCGAAUGGCUACUUUAGAGUUUUAGUGGCAUAUAAUGUUUUCUGAUAUGUGAUUUAAGUCAAUGCAAAACCAGUGAGAAUCAUUUAAAUGUGUAACCAACUUUGAAUUCAUCUCUUUCAUCCCAAUGUGGAAGUAGUAGUGUAGCAACAGGAACUAGAGCUGGGCUUUUUGGAACACAUAUUUCAGCUCAUGGUUUACCGCCUCCCCUAGCCUUAAUUAGUCGUUCGUAAUCUUAUGGAGCGGGCCAGGUUUGCUUAUUUAUGCACAGCACCGUAAUGUCUUGAAUGCACCAUCGGCAUGAAGGAUUGGUACGCUCGUAGAUUUUGCACCUGAUCUUGCACCUCUCAUGCAAAGUCGCGGCAAGAUUUAUAAUACGAGAGUGAUUCUGAGUACAUAUGUCGGGCUCGUGAAACUGAAGCAUGUAAUAGCCAAAGAUAGAAUACCAAAUUUUAUUUUCAUUCAAUAGUCAAUACUUUAAUAUUUUACCCACCAUACUAAUACAAUAAUUUCCCAAUAUUUUUCCAUUCAACUAUGCCAGUUUGGAUGUACAAAUUCCUUCCCCAAUUUUUCUAACAAAUCAUUCCCCUAUUUGCAAGUUUUUUUCCAUGGUGAUGAAACACUUCAUCUUGGAGCUCAUUAGAUUUUCUCAGCAAUCCCGAGACUAAUUACAAUCUCUGCUUUAUCACACAUUGGCCGAUCAACCAUCCUCCUAACAUGGUCUAAGCAGUUGACUUAAAAAAAAAAAAAAAAAAAGAAAUCACUUCUCAUUCUACGAGUGCCCCUCUCCUUAAUCCCUGCACAAUUGAUAAACAAUCAGUAAAAAAACUGAUAUUAGUCCAGCCACAUGCAUGAGUAAAAAUAGGUGCAUGAGAGCUUCAGCUUCUAAAGGGCUCAACUCAUGGAAUUGCACAAGAAAGCCUCCAUAACAUUCCCCUGUUGAAAAUCAGAAUAGCUCCCAAUCUUAGAAGCAAGUAAUCAUUCAAUUAAAACAAAAUUACUAUCUCAAAGUAACAUCCUGCAGUCUUAACAGUAAGAACAAAAAAACAUGUGGGAAAAGUGAUGAGGUGAGACCACCAAUUUCAAGUCGCUCUACUAAUGAAAACAGACAUGUUUCUAAAUCCAAGUCUCUCCAUAUUCCAUCCAAAAACACAAGAAGAGGGAGAGAUAAGUUAAGGAUAUAUCAUUCCAAAAAUAAUGCUAUGAAUAUCCCCCAUAGUCUAUUUCCAAGGAGAACCAUAACAAAAGUUGUUAAUGGAAUGAUGUGAGGUAAAAUAGCAAAAUGUCACUAAACAAUUUUGAGAGAACCUGCAAGUGUUUGGGAACGGGUCGGAGGGCUAAGCUUCGGCAGCUUUGGGAUGCUUGCGACGGAGGCUCGACUGGGGCAGCUCGGAACACGGCGUUAAUGGAGGCAAAAUAGAGGCUCGAUUGUU